GAUGAACGCUGGCGGCGUGCCUAAUACAUGCAAGUCGAGCGAACGGACGAGAACCUUGCUUCUCUGAUGUUAGCGGCGGACGGGUGAGUAACACGUGGAUAACCUACCUAUAAGACUGGGAUAACUUCGGGAAACCGGAGCUAAUACCGGAUAAUAUUUUGAACCGCAUGGUUCAAAAGUGAAAGACGGUCUUGCUGUCACUUAUAGAUGGAUCCGCGCUGCAUUAGCUAGUUGGUAAGGUAACGGCUUACCAAGGCAACGAUGCAUAGCCGACCUGAGAGGGUGAUCGGCCACACUGGAACUGAGACACGGUCCAGACUCCUACGGGAGGCAGCAGUAGGGAAUCUUCCGCAAUGGGCGAAAGCCUGACGGAGCAACGCCGCGUGAGUGAUGAAGGUCUUCGGAUCGUAAAACUCUGUUAUUAGGGAAGAACAUAUGUGUAAGUAACUGUGCACAUCUUGACGGUACCUAAUCAGAAAGCCACGGAUAACUACGUGCCAGCAGCCGCGGUAAUACGUAGGUGGCAAGCGUUAUCCGGAAUUAUUGGGCGUACAGCGCGCGUAGGCGGUUUUUUAGUCUGAUGUGAAAGCCCACGGCUCAACCGUGGAGGGUCAUUGGAAACUGGAAAACUUGAGUGCAGAAGAGGAAAGUGGAAUUCCAUGUGUAGCGGUGAAAUGCGCAGAGAUAUGGAGGAACACCAGUGGCGAAGGCGACUUUCUGGUCUGUAACUGACGCUGAUGUGCGAAAGCGUGGGGAUCAAACAGGAUUAGAUACCCUGGUAGUCCACGCCGUAAACGAUGAGUGCUAAGUGUUAGGGGGUUUCCGCCCCUUAGUGCUGCAGCUAACGCAUUAAGCACUCCGCCUGGGGAGUACGACCGCAAGGUUGAAACUCAAAGGAAUUGACGGGGACCCGCACAAGCGGUGGAGCAUGUGGUUUAAUUCGAAGCAACGCGAAGAACCUUACCAAAUCUUGACAUCCUUUGACAACUCUAGAGAUAGAGCCUUCCCCUUCGGGGGACAAAGUGACAGGUGGUGCAUGGUUGUCGUCAGCUCGUGUCGUGAGAUGUUGGGUUAAGUCCCGCAACGAGCGCAACCCUUAAGCUUAGUUGCCAUCAUUAAGUUGGGCACUCUAAGUUGACUGCCGGUGACAAACCGGAGGAAGGUGGGGAUGACGUCAAAUCAUCAUGCCCCUUAUGAUUUGGGCUACACACGUGCUACAAUGGACAAUACAAAGGGCAGCGAAACCGCGAGGUCAAGCAAAUCCCAUAAAGUUGUUCUCAGUUCGGAUUGUAGUCUGCAACUCGACUACAUGAAGCUGGAAUCGCUAGUAAUCGUAGAUCAGCAUGCUACGGUGAAUACGUUCCCGGGUCU
rnacentral:rRNA from 1 species